GGGUAGUUUAACUGGGGCGGUUGCCUCCUAAAAAGUAACGGAGGCGCUCAAAGGUUCCCUCAAUCUGGUUGGCAAUCAGAUUUCGAGUGUAAGUGCACAAGGGAGCUUGACUGUGAGACUGACAAGUCGAGCAGGGACGAAAGUCGGAACUAGUGAUCCGGCCGUGGAUUGUGGAAUCGCGGUCGCUCAACGGAUAAAAGGUACCCCGGGGAUAACAGGCUUAUCCUGCCCAAGAGUUCAUAUCGACGGCAUGGUUUGGCACCUCGAUGUCGGCUCGUCUCAUCCUGGGGCUGGAGCAGGUCCCAAGGGUUUGGCUGUUCGCCAAUUAAAGCGGUACGCGAGCUGGGUUCAGAACGUCGUGAGACAGUUCGGUCCCUAUCUUCCGCGGGCGCAGGAGCGUUGAGGAGAGCUGACUCUAGUACGAGAGGACCGAGUCGGACGCGCCUCUGGCGAACCGGUUGUCCUGCCAAGGGCAUCGCCGGGUAACUAAGCGCGGAUGUGAUAACCGCUGAAAGCAUAUAAGCGGGAAGCCGACUCCAAGAUGAACGCUCCCUGAAGGCGCCAGAUAGACUAUCUGUUUGAUAGGUCGGAGGCGUAAGCGCAGCAAUGCGUUCAGCUGACCGAUACUAAUACGCCGUUUGGCUUUUUUUA
rnacentral:rRNA from 1 species